rnacentral:misc_RNA from 1 species
GUGAAUCAUCAAAUUUUUGAACGCAUAUUGCACUCUCUGGGAUUCCGGUGAGUAUGCCUGUUUGCGGGUAAUUAAAAAGAAUCUUUAACCAAUUUUUUUGGUCAAAGGAAAGGAGUUCUCCGCGUUUAUAGCGUUAGCUUGAAAUAAAUGGUAGUCCCAUGCUAGUCGAGACGUGUAAUAAUAUUAUUUCGCGAAAUCUUCAU